AUGACCGCCCUCUCCUUCUCGAUCAGCAACGUCUACGCCCCCUCGGAUCACGCCCUCAUGACGGAAUUCGUCGACGACCUCCUUGCGGUCGCCCGGGGCAUCUCCGCCCGCUGGAUGGUGCUUGGAGAUUUCAACUUGAUUCGUUUCCCCCACGAGAAAAACAACGAUCGGUUUGAUGCCUCCCGCGCUGCGGUUUUUAACUCUCUCAUCAACAGCCUUGCGCUGCAUGAGCUCGCUCUGUCUGAUCGUCUUUUCACCUGGACAAAUAAGCAAGACCCGCCCACGCUUGCUCGCUUGGACCGCGUCUUCUUCGACUCGGCCUGGGACGUAGCCUUUCCGGACUAG
rnacentral:rRNA from 1 species